UAAUAUUUUUGAAUAUUAGAC
rnacentral:piRNA from 1 species